GUCGAAUGACAACAAAGAGAGGGAAGGUUGUCAGGACUGAAGGAGUUGAACUCCCAGAAGGCAGCAUAGCGGAUGUUGAGGGCAGCUACAAGUACCUUGGAAUCCCACAGGCAAAUGGGAACCAAGAAGAAGCCGCAAGGAAAGCAGCCACAGCCAAAUACCUACAGAGAGUAAGGCAAGUCCUAAGAAGUCAGCUAAAUGGGAAGAACAAGGUCCAAGCCAUCAACACCUACGCCCUGCCGGUCAUCAGAUACCCCGCUGGCAUAAUAAGCUGGCCAAAAGAGGACAUAGAAGCCACUGAUGUCAAGACAAGGAAGCUCUUCACAAUGCAUGGAGGACUUCACCCCAAAUCCAGCAUCCUGAGACUGUACGCUAAGAGGAAGGAAGGAGGCCGGGGACUGGUGAGCGUCAGAGCCACCAUCCAAGAUGAAACAGCCAAGAUCCAUGAGUACAUCAGGAAGAUGGCCCCAAGCGAUGGAAUACGUAGUGACUAUCUCAGGCAACAGAAGCCCGAUGCAGAGGAAGAAGAGCAAGAACCGUCAUGGCAGGACAAACCCCUGCACGGCAUGUACCACCGACAGAUACAAGAAGUGGCUGAUAUCGAAAAGUCCUACCGGUGGCUGGAUCCGGAGGCACUGAUUGUAGCAGCACAAGAACAGGCCCUGAGCACAAGAUCGAUAGAGGCCGGGGUCUACCGCACCAGGCAGGACCCCAGGUGCAGGCUGUGCAAAGAUGCCCCUGAGACAAUCCAGCACAUAACAGCAGGUUGUAAGAUGCUAGCAGGCAGGGCGUACAUGGAACGCCAUAACCAAGUGGCCGGCAUAGUGUACAGGAACAUCUGUGCCGAGUAUGGGCUGGAGGUCCCAAGGUCAAAAUGGGACACGCCUCCAAAGGUGAGGGAGAAUGACCGAGCUAAGAUCCUGUGGGACUUCCAGAUACAGACCGACAAACAGGUGAUGGCUAACCAACCGGACAUAGUAGUGGUGGACAAACAGCAGAAGAAAGCCGUAGUGGUAGAUGUAGCGAUCCCAAGUGACAGCAACAUCAGGAAGAAGGAACAUGAGAAGCUGGAGAAAUACCAAGGGCUCAAAGAAGAGCUAGAAAAGAUGUGGAAGGUGAAGGCAACAGUGGUCCCCGUGGUAAUCGGCACCCUCGGGGCUGUGACCCCCAAACUGGGAGAGUGGCUCCAACAGAUCCCAGGAACAACAUCAGAGCUCUCAGUCCAGAAGAGUGCAGUGCUAGGAACAGCUAAGAUACUGCGAAGAACCCUCAAACUCCCAGGCCUCUGGUAGAGGACCCGAGAUUGAG
rnacentral:lncRNA from 1 species